AUCAAGUGCCUUAAGAGCAUCUGGUGGAUGCCUUGGCGCUGAGAGGCGAUGAAGGACNUGGUACGCUGCGAUAAGCCUUG
rnacentral:rRNA from 1 species